CAAGUCGAGGGGCAGCGCGUCCGCCGCAAGGCGGAUGGCGGCGACCGGCAAACGGGUGCGGAACACGUACGCAACCUUCCCAUAACUGGUGAAUAGCCCUCCGAAAGGAGGAUUAAUACACCGUAACAUAACGAAGUGGCAUCAUUUUGUUAUUAUAGCUUCGGCGGUUUUGGAUGGGCGUGCGCCUGAUUAGGUAGUUGGCGGGGUAACGGCCCACCAAGCCUGCGAUCAGUAACUGGUGUGAGAGCACGACCAGUCACACGGGCACUGAGACACGGGCCCGACUCCUACGGGAGGCAGCAGUAAGGAAUAUUGGUCAAUGGACGCAAGUCUGAACCAGCCAUGCCGCGUGAAGGAUGAAGGUCCUCUGGAUUGUAAACUUCUUUUAUCUGGGACGAAAAAAGGGAAUUCUUUCUCACUUGACGGUACCAGAAGAAUAAGCACCGGCUAACUCCGUGCCAGCAGCCGCGGUAAUACGGAGGGUGCAAGCGUUAUCCGGAUUUACUGGGUUUAAAGGGUGCGUAGGUGGGUCUGUAAGUCAGUGGUGAAAUCUCCGAGCUUAACUCGGAAACUGCCAUUGAUACUAUAGGUCUUGAAUUAUCUGGAGGUAAGCGGAAUAUGUCAUGUAGCGGUGAAAUGCUUAGAUAUGACAUAGAACACCAAUUGCGAAGGCAGCUUACUACGGAUCGAUUGACACUGAGGCACGAAAGCGUGGGGAUCAAACAGGAUUAGAUACCCUGGUAGUCCACGCCCUAAACGAUGGAUACUCGACAUACGCGAUACACUGUGUGUGUCUGAGCGAAAGCAUUAAGUAUCCCACCUGGGAAGUACGAUCGCAAGAUUGAAACUCAAAGGAAUUGACGG
rnacentral:rRNA from 1 species